AGGACGAACGCUGGCGGCGUGCUUAACACAUGCAAGUCGAACGGAAAGGCCCUUCGGGGUACUCGAGUGGCGAACGGGUGAGUAACGCGUGAGCAACCUGCCCUUAGCUCCGGGAUAGCUCCGGGAAACCGGAAUUAAUACCGGAUACGACCACGGCCGACAUCUGCUGUGGUGGAAAGGAUUCCGGCUAAGGAUGGGCUCGCGGCCUAUCAGCUAGUUGGUGGGGUAAUGGCCCACCAAGGCGACGACGGGUA
rnacentral:rRNA from 1 species